rnacentral:tRNA from 1 species
GGAGAGUACAGCUCAAUGACAGAGUGUGUGCUUGGCAUGCACGAGGUCCUGGGUUCAAUCCCCAGUACCUCCA